AUAAUACUCCCUCCAUCCGGAAUUACUUGUCAUCAAAAUGGAUGUGUCUAGAACUAAAAUACAUCUAGAUACAUCCAUUUCAAUGAUAAGUAUUUUCAGACAGAGGGAGUAGUAG
rnacentral:pre_miRNA from 1 species